GUCUAUGGCCACCCUGAACAAGCCCAAUGUCUGAUCUUAGAAGCUAAGCAGGGUCAGGCCUCAUUAGUACUUGGAUGGGAGACCACCUAGGAAGACCAUGUGCUGUAGGUA
rfam:Pteropus alecto contig100032, whole genome shotgun sequence.